AUGCUCUCCCUCCCCUCCCUCUUUACGUCCCCUUUACAUUCUCUCCUCCCUCUUUACAUUCUCUCCUCCCUCUUUACGUCCCCUUUACAUUCUCUCCUCCCUCUUUACAUUCUCUCCUCCCUCUUUACGUCCCCUUUACAUUCUCUCCUCCCUCUUUACGUCCCCGUUACAUUCUCUCCUCCCUCUUUACGUCCCCGUUACAUUCUCUCCUCCCUCUUUACAUUCUCUCCUCCCUCUUUACGUCCCCUUUACAUUCUCUCCUCCCUCUUUACGUCCCCUUUACAUUCUCUCCUCCCUCUUUACGUCCCCUUUACAUUCUCUCCUCCCUCUUUACGUCCCAGUUACAUUCUCUCCUCCCUCUUUACAUCCCCUUUACAUUCUCUCCUCCCUCUUUACGUCCCUCUUACAUUCUCUCCUCCCUCUUUACGUCCCCUUUACAUUCUCUCCUCCCUCUUUACGUCCCCGUUACAUUCUCUCCUCCCUCUUUACGUCCCCUUUACAUUCUCUCCUCCCUCUUUACAUUAUCUCCUCCCUCUUUACGUCCCCUUUACAUUAUCUCCUCCCUCUUUACGUCCCCUUUACAUUCUCUCCUCCCUCUUUACGUCCCCUUUACAUUCUCUCCUCCCUCUUUACAUUCUCUCCUCCCUCUUUACGUCCCCUUUACAUUCUCUCCUCCCUCUUUACGUCCCAGUUACAUUCUCUCCUCCCUCUUUACAUCCCCUUUACAUUCUCUCCUCCCUCUUUACGUCCCAGUUACAUUCUCUCCUCCCUCUUUACAUCCCCUUUACAUUCUCUCCUCCCUCUUUACGUCCCCUUUACAUUCUCUCCUCCCUCUUUACGUCCCCUUUACAUUCUCUCCUCCCUCUUUACGUCCCCUUUACAUUCUCUCCUCCCUCUUUACAUCCCCUUUACAUUCUCUCCUCCCUCUUUACGUCCCAGUUACAUUCUCUCCUCCCUCUUUACAUCCCCUUUACAUUCUCUCCUCCCUCUUUACGUCCCAGUUACAUUCUCUCCUCCCUCUUUACAUCCCCUUUACAUUCUCUCCUCCCUCUUUACGUCCCCUUUACAUUCUCUCCUCCCUCUUUACGUCCCCUUUACAUGCUCUUCUACUUUACGUCCUUUAACGUCCCCCUUUACAUUCUCUCUUCCCGCUUUACGUUUGUAUUUAGGCUUAUGUUGAACUUUAUUCUUGUACAAACAGACACUGUAUCAAGCAGUGCAUGUAUUGAAUGA
rnacentral:lncRNA from 1 species